rnacentral:rRNA from 1 species
AAUAGAUACCCGGGUAGUCCAUGCCGUAAACGAUGUCUACUAGCCGUUGGGGCCUUUGAGGCUUUAGUGGCGCAGCUAACGCGAUAAGUAGACCGCCUGGGGAGUACGGUCGCAAGACUAAAACUCAAAUGAAUUGACGGGGGCCCGCACAAGCGGUGGAGCAUGUGGUUUAAUUCGAUGCAACGCGAAGAACCUUACCUGGUCUUGACAUAGUAAGAACUUUCCAGAGAUGGAUUGGUGCCUUCGGGAACUUACAUACAGGUGCUGCAUGGCUGUCGUCAGCUCGUGUCGUGAGAUGUUGGGUUAAGUCCCGCAACGAGCGCAACCCUUUUCCUUAUUUGCCAGCGGGUUAAGCCGGGAACUUUAAGGAUACUGCCAGUGACAAACUGGAGGAAGGCGGGGACGACGUCAAGUCAUCAUGGCCCUUACGACCAGGGCUACACACGUGCUACAAUGGUCGGUACAAAGGGUUGCUACCUAGCGAUAGGAUGCUAAUCUCAAAAAGCCGAUCGUAGUCCGGAUUGGAGUCUGCAACUCGACUCC